rnacentral:lncRNA from 1 species
AGACAGUAUCUGUGAAUGGAAGGUUAAGGCACAGCCAUCCAUCUUCUGACGCCCAGGAAGGUGGCUACACGUUUCGCUGCCAUACUGCACUUCCCUGAUUCCACUUCACAGAGCAGCCUCACCCCAGCAGAGAAUGAAUUAUCAAGUGUGCAGGACCAGUGAUGCAGGUGGUAACAAGAAUUUACCCAGGCCAGGAAAAGAGUAAAGAUAAGGGUUUACUCAGCCCAGAGUCCACUGCCUAGGGGGGCACCAGAGCCGGUCAACGCAGUUCCCCAGCUCAUCUAGGAGGGAGCUCUCUGAUUGCACCUUACUGGUGAGAGUAACGGCCUCAUCCAUGCUGAUAAUGCUGCAGGAAUAGGGAAGCCUCUGAAAGAUCAGCAAGGCCUUACUCACUACCCAGAAGCCACAAGACCACACCUGCAUAGAAAGUGACCAGUGUAUCUGCAGAUACUCAGGACUUUCUUGAGCCAGCAUGGAAAGCCCCAUUUUCCAGGAACUCUCUUUCCUAGGAAAACUGAAACAGUUGGUCACCCAAGAGCCAGAGCUGUCUUGACCAUAAGCAAGGCAGGUGGGAGUUGAAACAAAGAACAGAAGCCUCAGAAAAAGUCACAUUUUGAUUCCAAUUCUCCUUCGGCAUGACCAUCUGGGACAUGUGACGUAAUCUCUCAGAGAGAUCAUUCUCUCUAAAACAUUACAAUAAUUG